rnacentral:rRNA from 1 species
GGUUAAGCGACUAAGCGUACACGGUGGAUGCCCUGGCAGUCAGAGGCGAUGAAGGACGUGCUAAUCUGCGAAAAGCGUCGGUAAGGUGAUAUGAACCGUUAUAACCGGCGAUGUCCGAAUGGGGAAACCCAGUGUGUUUCGACACACUAUCAUUAACUGAAUCCAUAGGUUAAUGAGGCGAAACGGGGGAACUGAAACAUCUAAGUACCCCGAGGAAAAGAAAUCAACCGAGAUUCCCCCAGUAGCGGCGAGCGAACGGGGAGGAGCCCAGAGCCUGAAUCAGUGUGUGUGUUAGUGGAAGCGUCUGGAAAGGCGCGCGAUACAGGGUGACAGCCCCGUACACAAAAAUGCACAUGCUGUGAGCUCGAUGAGUAGGGCGGGACACGUGGUAUCCUGUCUGAAUAUGGGGGGACCAUCCUCCAAGGCUAAAUACUCCUGACUGACCGAUAGUGAACCAGUACCGUGAGGGAAAGGCGAAAAGAACCCCGGCGAGGGGAGUGAAAAAGAACCUGAAACCGUGUACGUACAAGCAGUGGGAGCCCUGAUUUAUCAGGGUGACUGCGUACCUUUUGUAUAAUGGGUCAGCGACUUAUAUUCUGUAGCAAGGUUAACCGAAUAGGGGAGCCGGAGGGAAACCGAGUCUUAACUGGGCGUUAAGUUGCAGGGUAUAGACCCGAAACCCGGUGAUCUAGCCAUGGGCAGGUUGAAGGUUGGGUAACACUAACUGGAGGACCGAACCGACUAAUGUUGAAAAAUUAGCGGAUGACUUGUGGCUGGGGGUGAAAGGCCAAUCAAACCGGGAGAUAGCUGGUUCUCCCCGAAAGCUAUUUAGGUAGCGCCUCGUGAAUUCAUCUCCGGGGUAGAGCACUGUUUCGGCAAGGGGGUCAUCCCGACUUACCAACCCGAUGCAAACUGCGAAUACCGGAGAAUGUUAUCACGGGAGACACACGGCGGGUGCUAACGUCCGUCGUGAAGAGGGAAACAACCCAGACCGCCAGCUAAGGUCCCAAAGUCAUGGUUAAGUGGGAAACGAUGUGGGAAGGCCCAGACAGCCAGGAUGUUGGCUUAGAAGCAGCCAUCAUUUAAAGAAAGCGUAAUAGCUCACUGGUCGAGUCGGCCUGCGCGGAAGAUGUAACGGGGCUAAACCAUGCACCGAAGCUGCGGCAGCGACACUGUGUGUUGUUGGGUAGGGGAGCGUUCUGUAAGCCUGCGAAGGUGUGCUGUGAGGUAUGCUGGAGGUAUCAGAAGUGCGAAUGCUGACAUAAGUAACGAUAAAGCGGGUGAAAAGCCCGCUCGCCGGAAGACCAAGGGUUCCUGUCCAACGUUAAUCGGGGCAGGGUGAGUCGACCCCUAAGGCGAGGCCGAAAGGCGUAGUCGAUGGGAAACAGGUUAAUAUUCCUGUACUUGGUGUUACUGCGAAGGGGGGACGGAGAAGGCUAUGUUGGCCGGGCGACGGUUGUCCCGGUUUAAGCGUGUAGGCUGGUUUUCCAGGCAAAUCCGGAAAAUCAAGGCUGAGGCGUGAUGACGAGGCACUACGGUGCUGAAGCGACAAAUGCCCUGCUUCCAGGAAAAGCCUCUAAGCAUCAGGUAACAUCAAAUCGUACCCCAAACCGACACAGGUGGUCAGGUAGAGAAUACCAAGGCGCUUGAGAGAACUCGGGUGAAGGAACUAGGCAAAAUGGUGCCGUAACUUCGGGAGAAGGCACGCUGAUAUGUAGGUGAAGCGACUUGCUCGUGGAGCUGAAAUCAGUCGAAGAUACCAGCUGGCUGCAACUGUUUAUUAAAAACACAGCACUGUGCAAACACGAAAGUGGACGUAUACGGUGUGACGCCUGCCCGGUGCCGGAAGGUUAAUUGAUGGGGUCAGCGCAAGCGAAGCUCUUGAUCGAAGCCCCGGUAAACGGCGGCCGUAACUAUAACGGUCCUAAGGUAGCGAAAUUCCUUGUCGGGUAAGUUCCGACCUGCACGAAUGGCGUAAUGAUGGCCAGGCUGUCUCCACCCGAGACUCAGUGAAAUUGAACUCGCUGUGAAGAUGCAGUGUACCCGCGGCAAGACGGAAAGACCCCGUGAACCUUUACUAUAGCUUGACACUGAACACUGGUCCUUGAUGUGUAGGAUAGGUGGGAGGCUUUGAAGUGUGGACGCCAGUCUGCAUGGAGCCGUCCUUGAAAUACCACCCUUUAAUGGCUGGUGUUCUAACGUGGGCCCGUAAUCCGGGUUGCGGACAGUGUCUGGUGGGUAGUUUGACUGGGGCGGUCUCCUCCUAAAGAGUAACGGAGGAGCACGAAGGUUGGCUAAUCCUGGUCGGACAUCAGGAGGUUAGUGCAAUGGCAUAAGCCAGCUUGACUGCGAGCGUGACGGCGCGAGCAGGUGCGAAAGCAGGUCAUAGUGAUCCGGUGGUUCUGAAUGGAAGGGCCAUCGCUCAACGGAUAAAAGGUACUCCGGGGAUAACAGGCUGAUACCGCCCAAGAGUUCAUAUCGACGGCGGUGUUUGGCACCUCGAUGUCGGCUCAUCACAUCCUGGGGCUGAAGUAGGUCCCAAGGGUAUGGCUGUUCGCCAUUUAAAGUGGUACGCGAGCUGGGUUUAGAACGUCGUGAGACAGUUCGGUCCCUAUCUGCCGUGGGCGCUGGAGAACUGAGGGGGGCUGCUCCUAGUACGAGAGGACCGGAGUGGACGCAUCACUGGUGUUCGGGUUGUCAUGCCAAUGGCACUGCCCGGUAGCUAAAUGCGGAAGAGAUAAGUGCUGAAAGCAUCUAAGCACGAAACUUGCCCCGAGAUGAGUUCUCCCUGAGACUUAGAGUCUCCUGAAGGAACGUUGAAGACGACGACGUUGAUAGGCCGGGUGUGUAAGCGCAGCGAUGCGUUGAGCUAACCGGUACUAAUGAACCGUGAGGCUUAACCUU